UAAAUCUUCUAUCCUCUUCGCGCAACCAUGUCUCGAAGAUUGCUUGUGUCAUCCAAGCUUUCCCGUUCGCGUGGUACGUGACAGGCAGCAUGCGCACACCUUUGAAGCAGCGUGGGUGCUUUGAUUUCCCCACAACCACCAUCUUCAACUUUUCGCUACCGUCCAUGUUGGCACCUACUAGCACCGUAAUACGAUCUUUGCUUCGCUUUCCUCCCACACAGGUUUCCCCCUUGUAAGCAAGAGUCUUAGUAGGGAGUGCUUUGUAGAACAACCCCAUUUCAUCAAUGUUAAAGACGUCCCGUUGUUCGUAGGUUUCCAAAAUUUCUUGCAACCUCCCCUGUUGCCAGUGGCUACAGAUAUCUCUGUUUACAGCCACACUUUCUCCAGAAACUGUCUUAAAGACAAGACCAUGCCGCUUUUUAAAACCGCUGAGCCAGCCAUCGCUCACCCGGAAGUCCUCGAUCCCCAUCCGAGUAGCAAUCUCUUUGGCCUUCUCUUCCAAAAUGGGGCCGCUGAUCGGGAAGUUCGCACUGCGUGCACGCUUGAACCAGAGGAAAAGCACAUCUUCGAUUUCUUUGUACGCCGUCGUUCUCAUCCGCAUUCUGUCCGUGGCGAAGUUCCCAAGCUUUACAGCUUCUUCAAUCUUCCCUUUGUUCUUGAGUAUCCUCGACAGCGUGGACUUGGCAAUAUUGAACUUCUUCGCAAUUUCUGUCUUCGAUAGGUUGUUGCGGUCAAGUUCUUGGAUGAUCCUUACUUUUGUUGCGAGCGAAAGUGCAUUGUGCUGCCGUUUUUUUGUUUCCAUCUCAAGUUUACGACGAGACCUCGAUCGCUACUCGACGCGCGCGAACAUGUGCGAUCGCUGGAUUGGCUUUUGGCUUGGCUAGGCUAUAGUAACUUCUUGUUUCAUGGUUGCUAGACUGCCGUGGCCAUUUCCGGCGUUCAUGGACUUUGCCCGUUUUACUUUCAUUUAACCGAUGUAAGCGAAAAAAAUGUUCCAAUUAGCCGAAACUUUUUAUCAUUAAAUAUAUAGGAGACCAACCAAAUGUGCCUAGAUAGUUUCGUUUAUGCGAGUUUUCCGUUUAACCGAGUUUCGUUUAAUGGGAGUCCACUGUAUCCCCUCCUCACUAAUG
rnacentral:lncRNA from 1 species